CCUACGGGUGGCAGCAGUGGGGAAUAUUGGACAAUGGGCGAAAGCCUGAUCCAGCCAUGCCGCGUGUGUGAAGAAGGCCUUCGGGUUGUAAAGCACUUUCAGUGGGGAAGAAAGCCUUGGGGCUAAUACCCUCGAGGAAGGACAUCACCCACAGAAGAAGCACCGGCUAACUCCGUGCCAGCAGCCGCGGUAAUACGGAGGGUGCGAGCGUUAAUCGGAAUUACUGGGCGUAAAGCGCGCGUAGGCGGUCUGAUAAGCCGGUUGUGAAAGCCCCGGGCUCAACCUGGGAACGGCAUCCGGAACUGUCAGGCUAGAGUGCAGGAGAGGUAGGUAGAAUGCGCGGUGUAGCGGUGAAAUGCGUAGAGAUGGGGAGGAAUACCAGUGGCGAAGGCGGCCUUCUGGACUGACACUGACGCUGAGGUGCGAAAGCGUGGGUAGCAAACAGGAUUAGAUACCCCUGUAGUC
rnacentral:rRNA from 1 species